GGGGAUUUAGCUCAGCGGCAUAAGCGCCUGCCUUGUAAGCAGGAAGUCGUGAGUUCGAUCCCUG
rfam:Cavia porcellus supercont2_22 genomic scaffold, whole genome shotgun sequence.